UGGGUUCUUGCCGAGUUUACAAGGGGUUUUUGUGGGGGUGUUUCAAUUCUCCCAACCCAUUGUGAACCGUUACCAAACUGUUGCCUCGGCGGGAUCUCUGGCCCCGGGUGCGUCGCAGCCAAAACUCUUAUUGUAUACCCCCUCGCGGGUUUUUUUAUAAUCUGAGCCUUCUCGGCGCCUCUCGUAGGCGUUUCGAAAAUGAAUCAAAACUUUCAACACCCCCGGACCAAGGCGCCCGCCGGAGGCACAAACGGAUCUCUUGGUUCUGGCAUCGAUGAAGAACGCAGCGAAAUGCGAUAAGUAAUGUGAAUUGCAAAAUUCAGUGAAUCAUCUAAUCUUUGAACGCACAUUGCGCCCGCCAGUAUUCUGGCGGGCAUGCCUGUCCGAGCGUCAUUUCAACCCUCGAACCCCUCCGGGGGGUCGGCGUUGGGGAUCGGCCCUGCCUUGGCGGUGGCCGUCUCCGAAAUACAGUGGCGGUCUCGCCGCAGCCUCUCCUGCGCAGUAGUUUGCACACUCGCAUCGGGAGCGCGGCGCGUCCACAGCCGAUAAACACCCAACUUCUGAAAUGUUGACCUCGGAUCAGGUAUGAAUACCCCUGGAAAC
rnacentral:rRNA from 1 species